rnacentral:rRNA from 1 species
UACAGAGACCUCGAGCGUUAUCCGGAAUCAUUGGGCGUAAAGGGUCCGUAGGCGGCUUUUUAAGUCAUGCGUCAAAUCUCUGGGCUCAACCCAGGGGCUGCGUGUGAUACUGAGGAGCUAGAGGUCGGGAGAGGCACAUGGAAUUACAGGUGUAGCGGUAAAAUGCGUUAAUAUCUGUAAGAACACCAAAGGCGAAGGCAGUGUGCUGGAACGAUUCUGACGCUGAGGGACGAAAGCGUGGGUAGCGAAUGGGAUUAGAUACCCCGGUAGU